rnacentral:snRNA from 1 species
GUACUUGCUCCGGCAGUACUUAUACUGGAACGACACAGAGAAGAUUAGCAUGGCCCCUGCGAAAGGAUGACACGCAAAUUCGUGAAGCGUUCCAUAUUUUU